AAAAUGAGGAUGCUUUUUAAAACGAACUAAGAUGUAUAAAUCUUAGUUUUUUUGCAUUUUAAAGAUAGGCAUAUGGCAUAUUGAUUAACGAGUCAAAUUUCCUAACUUUGCUGUGCAAAGGUUGAGAGCUAUUGCUGAUUAGUUACCACAGUUCUGAUGAUCGUCCCAUCAGUGUUGUUAAUGUUUGCUGUAUUUAUUAAUUUUCUUAAAGUGGAAUCUGAAAAAUGAAAUUUGUGUGUCCUGUGUACCCGAGGGGUAAUGAUUAAAUGAUAAAGAUACGAAAAGCGCCCAUGUGACACAAACUGCCAUUCAACAGGUAUUUCCCUUACUACCUAAGGAAUUGUAACCAUUGCCCAGACAUUGUAGGAUUUAACUAUGUUGAAAACCACAGGAGAGGCCGGGCGCAGUGGCUCACGCCUGUAAUCCCAGCACUUUGGGAGGCCGAGGCGGGCGGAUCACGAAGUCAGGAGAUUUGAGACCAUCCUGGCUAACAUGGUGAAACCCCGCCUCUACUAAAAAUACAAAAAAUUAGCCGGGCGUGGUGGCGGGCGCCUGUAGUCCCAGCAACUCAGGAGGCUGAGGCAGGAGAAUGGCGUGAACCCGGGAGGCGGAGCUUGCAGUGAGCCGAGAUUGUGCCACUGCACUCCAGCCUGGGUGAGAGAGCAAGACUCCAUCUCAAAAAAAAAAAAAAAAAGAAAACCACAGAAGAGACAACAGGUUUUUGAAUGAAAUACAUGGGCACUACCUUGCUUGACAUCACAUAGUCCUUGAUGAAAGUUCACAUUUAGGUCUGCUUGGUACAACAUGCCUCCCAAAAGGGUCUGAUACCUUUCAGUACCAGUAAGACACCUGCAUAUGAUGGUAAGGUAUCUGCAAAUUUGCACACGCCGUACACAGCUUAAGUCUUAGAAUUAACUUGCUAAAAUGUGAGCCUUUGACUAGUAAUUAGGCUGUUUUAUUAGGGAGUGUGAUAAUAUUUGAAUUUCUUUUUCAUAUUUGUGCUUUGUGUCAUUUUCAAAUGACCCUUGAAAUGUAUUUUAAAACUAGAUAAAAGCCAGAGGUGAUUUGAUUGUCUAUCCAGCAAAAGGUGGAAGGUGGUUCGUUUUCUUGUCCUCUUUUAAUACCAAGGCAGUGCUAACACUUGCCACAACUUGGGAAAUUCCAUGGGUCUACGCCACAUUGCUCCCAGAGUAAUGAGGCAAUGGUGCUCUGUUACAGAAUUGCUUGUUUCACGAUACGUCAUGACAGAAACACCAUACAACAUGGAAUGACACAAACAUAAUAUGCCACACUCCAGAAUAUGUAAUGCUUGUCUUCCAGGGGGUUUCAGUCUAAGGUAAUCUCUACCAGGAAGAAAUGCUAGAUGACUUUAGACAUGUCCAUUGGUUUGGACCUUCUAAUUAGUUGAAUUUUUACUUACUUAUUUUGACAUGAGAGAUUACAUAGAAUCUCUAUGUUGCUCAGGUUGGUCUCCAAAUCUGCUCAAACAAUCCUCCCGCCUCAGCUUCUCAAGUAGCUGGGAUUACAGGGACACACCACUGUGCUUACCUUAAAUAGUUGAAUUUAUUGGGCAUCCACUGAAAAGAAGGAAGUAGGAAUAAAAUCUGCAAUAAUAUGAAUAAACCUGUAAGUGAGCAUGAACAAUGGUGGGCAAGGGUAUGCAGACUCUGGAAUCCAGAAAUAGAAAAUCAGUGGAAAGCCAGGCACAGUGGCUCACACUUAUAAUCCCAGCACUUUGGGAGGCCAAGGUGGGAGGAUCACUUGAGGCCAGGAGUUUGACACUAGCCUGGGCAACAUAGUGAGACCUUGUCUACUAGAAAUAAAUAAUUUUGUGGAUAUACUAAAUACCAUUCUAAAAAUAAGUGGAAAAGGGAUUAGAGAGAUCCUUGUAAAUUAUGUACUCAUAUUCAUUGUUCUCUUUAGUCACAUAAUUCAGUCAUGUAAGUGACAUUCCACGGUAUGGUGCUCCAUAAUAUAUAUUUUUUCUUUUUUCGAUCUCACUUGUAUAUGAUCCAUAAUAUUUUUCAUCAUUCCCUCACUGAUGGACAUUUAGAUUGUUUCCUAUUUUUUGCUGUUUAACAGUACUGCACUGAACAUCUGUACAUUUCUCUCAGGCAUGUGUGGGUCUUCAGAUACCUCAAAAGUAGAACUGCUGAGUCAAAAGACAUUUGCAUUUAACAUUUUGGAAGAUGUUGAUAAAUUGCACCACCACCACCCGCACCCCCCGCCCCCCCCGCCCACAAAAGCUGUUAUUUAUGCUGUGAAACAUUUUAACAAUGAUU
ensembl:lncRNA